AUUGAACGCUGGCGGCAUGCUUUACACAUGCAAGUCGAACGGCAGCGCGGGCUUCGGCCUGGCGGCGAGUGGCGAACGGGUGAGUAAUGCAUCGGAACGUGCCCAGUAGUGGGGGAUAGCCCGUCGAAAGCCGGAUUAAUACCUCAUACGACCUGAGGGUGAAAGCGGGGGACCGAAAGGCCUCGCGCUAUUGGAGCGGCCGAUGUCGGAUUAGCUAGUUGGUGGGGUAAAGGCUUACCAAGGCGACGAUCCGUAGCUGGUCUGAGAGGACGACCAGCCACCUUGGGACUGAGACACGGCCCAGACUCCUACGGGAGGAAGCAGUGGGGAAUUUUGGACAAUGGGGGCAACCCUGAUCCAGCCAUGCCGCGUGAGGGAAGAAGGCCUUCGGGUUGUAAAGCGCUUUUGUUCGGGAAGAAAUCCUCUGGGCUAAUACCCCGGGGGGAUGACGGUACCGGAAGAAUAAGCACCGGCUAACUACGUG
rnacentral:rRNA from 1 species